GACAUUUUGGAAAUCGUCACAACAAAUGAUCUGUUGUUAAAGCGGGUACAAACUGGUGCCGGGUCAGAACAGAACCUCCAGAGGCAGACCAUCAUUAACAUCGGGUACACACAGUCCAAUAUUGUGAAUAAUAAGCAACAUAGCUAUAGAACAUUUCAAUGUGUGCUCUUAAUGAACAUCUUCAUGUUUUUUCUUCAUGCACUGACAUUUUCUUCUUUUUUUUUUUAAAUAGCUAAAUUUGCGCAGGCACAAUGGGUGUAUUUCAGUGGUAGCUUCUAUUAUAUUUCUACAACCCAGAAGUCCUGGCAAAGCAGUCAAUAUUUCUGCCAGUAUCAAGGAGCCGACCUGGUGAUCAUAAACAGCAGAGAAGAAGAGCAAUUCACAAGAAAGUUUCAAAAGAGAGCCUGGAUUGGUCUUACUGACAGAAUACAAGAGGGGUCCUGGAAAUGGGUGGAUGGGACUGCGCUAACACAAAGCUACUGGCGCUUUGGAGAGCCUAACCAUUUUAAAGGCAGAAAUGAGGACUGUGUAGAGAUACAGAACUUUGACUCCGAACGCAACUGGAAUGAUGCUCAAUGUGCAAACGAUAACUACUGGAUCUGUGAAAAGAACUUUGAUAUUUAACAUAAACAAGAGUUUUCUGUUUGUAGCCUAUUUUUUAAAAUAGUUUAUAAGACAAAAAUAUAAUUCUGUGCUUUCCAAUGGAACCACAAAGUACCUGCUUUAGUUAUUCUUUGAGUUCUAAAUUGAUGUAAUCAGAACAAUUCAAGAAUUUGACAGUUGACUUUUUAUUGCUUUGGUCAUCGAUACCCAGUUAGCUCAAAUUAGCAGUCAUUGUGUGCUUUUUGUCAUUCUGGCUCAUCAGUUUUGUAUCUUAUUAGUUUGACUUGUUCUUUCUCAAUAGUUAAAGUCAUUUAAGGAAGUUAAUCUCUGCAUCUUAUAAAUGUCUAAUGUGAAACUUUAGUUAACCAAAGACAUUUGUAAUAAAACUGACCAAGUUUAUUUUUUGACUAACCUAUUUUAAUGGCACGGUGGUCAUUUUGAUGACAUGUGUAGAGUUACUGUUUACUGUUGUGAGUUAGCAUUUUAAAAAACUAAAAAUUGAGUUGCAUUUUAAUGCUGAUUGGUAAUCAGCCAAUCUAAUGGCUGAUUACAACAGC